rnacentral:rRNA from 1 species
CCUACGGGAGGCAGCAGUAGGGAAUCUUCCGCAAUGGACGAAAGUCUGACGGAGCAACGCCGCGUGAGUGAAGAAGGUUUUCGGAUCGUAAAACUCUGUUGUCAGGGAAGAACAAGUACGGGAGUAACUGCCCGUACCUUGACGGUACCUGGCCAGAAAGCCACGGCUAACUACGUGCCAGCAGCCGCGGUAAUACGUAGGUGGCAAGCGUUGUCCGGAAUUAUUGGGCGUAAAGCGCGCGCAGGCGGCCUUUUAAGUCUGAUGUGAAAGCCCCCGGCUCAACCGGGGAGGGUCAUUGGAAACUGGAAGGCUUGAGUGCAGAAGAGAAGAGCGGAAUUCCACGUGUAGCGGUGAAAUGCGUAGAGAUGUGGAGGAACACCAGUGGCGAAGGCGGCUCUUUGGUCUGUAACUGACGCUGAGGCGCGAAAGCGUGGGGAGCAAACAGGAUUAGAUACCCUGGUAGUCCACGCCGUAAACGAUGAGUGCUAAGUGUUGGGGGGUUUCCGCCCCUCAGUGCUGCAGCUAACGCAUUAAGCNCNCGCGNGGAGACGCGCGAGNGNGAACACAANAGAGUGNGCGNGAGAGNGCGAGACGACGACGAGGGAGGAGG